CGUGUAGGCGGUCAAGCAAGUGGAAUGUGAAAUCCCUCGGCUCACCCGAGGACCUGCAUUCCAAACUGCUUAGCUUGAGUAUGGGAGAGGAUGAGGGAAUUCCUGGUGUAGCGGUGAAAUGCGUAGAUAUUAGGAGGAACACCGGUGGCGAAGGCGCUCAUCUGGCCCAAUACUGACGCUGAGGCGCGAAAGCUAGGGGAGCAAACG
rnacentral:rRNA from 1 species